rnacentral:lncRNA from 1 species
UGACAUUUUCCACGAAAGUGUCUUAAUCCAUACAUAUUAUAAAUACAGUCUCUAACUUCAAUUCAAAACAAAUACUAAAAUUUCUCUAUUUCUAACUAUGGCAACAGAUCAAAAAUACCAACAAUCAUAUCCUUUAGCCCCAUCAAAUUUUAUGCCAAGAAGUGAUGCAGAAUCAUUAGCAAAUUUCCAAGCCAAUAAUAUCAAGAGGAAAAACAAAAUCAGAAAUAUUUUAUUCUUCACAUUGUUCUUAACUGGAAUCGUUCUUCUAUUUUCUCUCAUAUUUGUUCGAAUCAAAUCACCUCAAAUCUGGCUCGAAAACAUCAGAAUCACAAACUAUAGUGAUGGCAAUAAUAUUAGUUUUUCUGCACAAGUUUUUGUGAGAAAUCCUAAUUAUUGGCGUUACGACUUUGAUAGCAGUUUAGCUACUAUUACUUCAGGGGGUGUGUCUAUUGGCCAAUUUAUUAUUCCUGAAUCAGAGGUACGACGUCAUUCGACGAAAAAAUUAUUUAUUAUUGCAAAUAUUGUCAUAAGAAAAGGAGUCAAUAAUACUAACGGGAUUUUGCCAGUGACUACCCUGGCUAAGAUAAGAGGGGAAUUGAAGAUCUUUAGGGUAUUUAGGAGGAAGAAAUCUGCAGAUUUGAGUUGUACUAUGGAUAUUAAUUUGACUAUAAGUGCCAUUCAAGAUCUUGAUUGCAAGUGAGAGUGAAAAAAGGAUUUUUGUGAAUUAUUACCAAAGUUUCCUUUUAACAUCUAUACUUUCUUUUGUUUCAGUAUAUUAAUAAUAUUUUUUUCUUUGAGGAAUUUGUUAAUAAAGUGCAGCUUAUUCUAAGUUGUAUUAUUGGUCAUCUAAUGAUCACCCCUAUAUAGAUAUAAUCCUUUUUUGAAAUUUAAAGAUUAUAACAUGUGUUUUUACAUGUUCUUAUUCUCUCUUCUUGAUUGAACAAUGAUCAAGUGAAACCACUGAAGAUUGACGAAUCUGCGGCGUGGUAUAUGUUGACUCAAACUGUUACGAACCAGACCCGGCCCAAUAUCAUACAAGCAGUUAUUGAAUGAAAGAAUUGCAUAGGGCGCCCUGUUUGGGCGCCCCUUUUUAACAUUUAGUCACUUUAUUUUUCUAAUUGUAUUCGUACCCAUUUUUUUGUUAAAAGCCAUUUGGAAAGAAUAUUUUGCCCUUCUUUAUUAAAAAACUACUUUCUUUCCAAGUAUACAGUAGUCCUCCACUGUCUCUGUCUCUCUCUCCCGUUAUUUGCGCUUUUUGAUUUGUUCUUCUCUGAAAUCAAACAGUUUUCGUUGUUGUUUCGAAUUUUCAAGUGCUAGUCAUCGUUGUUCCCACAUUACGAUUUAAUCACAGGUACAUUGCAUUAACUUUUCGGGUUCUUCUGGUUUUGGUUUUUAUAGUCAUGUAUUUAUGAUAGGGUUUAGUUUGAUAAGUUCAGUAGUUUUACUUUUACGUUUGUAUUUUUAGGUUUUUUGAACGAGUGUUUAUGUUAUUGAUGAAAAUUAUAUAAAUUCUUAUGUGUUAAGACGUUCAAAUUUUUAAAAAAUUUCAGAGUUAAACACAUGAUAAUGAUACCUUAGAUAGGAGUAGAAGUUUUUUUUUUUCUUCAUGUUUUCCAUUAUUUUUGGAUUUGAAUUUGUCUUUUUUUUGCUGAAUGUUUUGUGCUUGUAUGGAGAACCAUAAUUAAGUUUAUGUGUUUGUAACUCGUGAAUUCCAUCUUUAGGAACUGAAGUUUUUGUGUUUGUAACUGGUGAAGUCCAACUUUAGGAGAUAAAGUUUUUGUAUUUGUUACUGUUGAACUUCAGCUCUAGAGAUGAAGUUUUUAUUUUAUACCUGUCGAACUACAGUUAAAGAGUUGAAGUUUUUAUUUUGUAACUGUCAAACUUCAGCUCUAGAGCUGAAGUUUUUGUUUUAUACCUGUCGAACUUCAGCUCUAGACCUGAAGUUUUUGUUUUAUAUUUAUCGAACUUAAGCCUUCUUAGGUAUUGAAGUUUUAACUAAUAUUUUUGAUAAUGUCCUGAUGUUAUUAUUUGUAUCUUUUACCUUUUUUGGACAGAUGGCUCCUUAAGUACCUACAGAUCCUAAAGUAGCUAAAGAAGGUAAAGCACCUAUAAAACCUAGACUGCCUGUAGUAGCCCCAGGUCCGUACGUCCCUGAGCUUCUACCUACAAGACCAGGACAAAAUUAUUUUGAGUUUGAAGAUUGGUUUAACUCUAAGGGUUACUGGAAAGGGAACCAUGAAUUGAAGGGUUUUAUUGCAACUUUCUUGACUCCUGCACAAUAGGAUAAGCAUAAUAAUGGUACAUUUAAGCACAUUAUUGCUACGGAGAAUUUCAAAUGCAGCAUGAAGUUAGUUCAUUAUUUGUGUCUUUCUCGAAUAUUCACGAAUGAUCGAGACUCCAUUAGUUUCAAGAUUUUUGACUAUGAUGUUUCCUUCACCCUUGAAGACUUUCACAUUAUGUGUGAUUUACGAAUCACAUCACAUAAUGUUGAAAAACUAUUUUAUCGAGAGAGCAAUAUUCUGAAGCGCUAUUUUGGUAAGUCCAAGGGUGUGACUUUGAAGGAGGUUCGAAGUUUUAUGACUCGCAAUAAAAUUCCAAAGAAUAUUGUGAAUCAUGUACACGUAUGCGAGAGUGAUGAUGAUGCAAUUAAGCUUAUGGAAAUUCUUGUUGUAGAGACUAUUCUACAACAAUAACAACUACCCAGUGUAGUUCCACAGGGUGAUGUCUGGGGAGGGUAAUAUGUACGCAGGCCAUAGCCCCACCCAAAAGGGCAGAGAUGAUAUUUCCAAUAGACCCUCGGCUUAGGGAAAGGAAAGAAAAAAUAAAAACAAAAGAAAAUUAGUAACUCCAAUAGGAAUGAAUACACAAUUAUGUAAAUAUAGACCAUAAAUAAUAUGACAUGCAAGAGGAAAGGUAAACAAAAAACAGAAGCAAAAGGGCAUCCACAAAUAUUUAUUUAGCCACAUCCUGUAAAUAAGCUGACAUGCAAUAACAACAACCACUAACUACCAAAAGAAUACACUACAAUACACAGACCAUCAAUGGAGAGCCCCACCAAACCCCGAGCAUCCCCGUGAGAGAAUUGCGAAAAAUUCUAAGAGCCCCUAUCCUACAACCCUGAUACUAGACCUCCAGGAUUUCUUAUCAAGGGCCAUGUCCUCGGAAAUUCGCAUCCUAGCCAUGUCGUACCUAAUAACCUCUUCCCAAUACUUCUUUGGCCUCCCUCUGCCUCGACUCACGCCAACCACCGCCAACCGUUCACAACUCCUUACCAGGGCAUCUGGGAUUCUCCUUCGCACAUGCCCGAACCACCUAAGGCUUGCUUCCUGCAGCUUCUCAUCCACUGGGGCCACACCCACCUUCUCUCGAAUAACUCUAUUUUUAAUCUUAUCUAACCUAGUGAUCCCGCACAUCCACCUGAGCGUUCUCAUCUCCGCAACCUUCAUUCUCUAAACAUGAGAGUUCUUCACCGGCCAGCACUCUGCCCUAUACAACAUGGCUGGUCUUACCACAGCUCUAUAAAACCUCCCCUUGAGUUUCUGUGGCACUUUCUUGUCACACAAGACUCCUGAUGAAAGCCUCCAUUUCGACCACUGUACCCCUAUACGCUGGGUGACAUCCCCGCCGAUCUCUUCAUCUCCUAAAUCACUGACCUAAGAUAUCUGAAACUGUCCCUCUUGGUGAUGACCUGAGAUCCAAGCUUCACGACCCUGCCUACUUCUUCUUUACUCGACUCUGCGCUAAACAUGCACUCCAGGUACUCUGUCUCAGACCUACUUAGUUUGAAACCAUUUGACUCGAGAGUCUCUCUCCAGACCUCCAACCUCUCGUUGACAUCGGCCCUCGUCUCGUCUAUCAAGACUAUGUCAUCAGCAAAUAGCAUACACCAUGGCACAUCCUCUUGAAUAUGGCGAGUUAGAGCAUCCAUCACCAAAGCAAAUAAGAGAGGACUAAGCGCAGUUCCUUGAUGGAGUCCCAUAACCACCGGAAAAUGGUCUGAGUCGCCACUCACCGUCCUAAGCCUAGUCUUAGCUCCAUCAUACUUGUCCUUGAUCACUCUGAUGUAGGCUUCCGGCACGCUCUUCGCCUCCAAGCACCUCCCUUGGGACCUUAUCGUAUGCCUUCUCCAAGUCGAUAAACACCAUGUGUAGAUCCUUUUUCUUAUCUCUGAAUUGUUCCACCAAUCUCCUGACAAGGUGGAUAGCUUCUGUUGUGGAGCGGCCCGGCAUGAAGCCGAACUGGUUCACGGAGAUUCAUCACCAAAGCAAAUAAUAGAGGGAUAAGUGCAGAUCCUUGAUGGAGCCCCAUAACCACCGGAAAAUGGUCUAAGUCACCACCCAGCGUCCUAAUCCUAGUCUUAGCUCCAUAGUACAUAUCCUUGAUCACUAUGAUGUAGGCUUCCGGCACGCUCUUCGCCUCCAGGCACCUCCAUAGAGCCUCCCUUUUGGACCUUGUCGUAUGCCUUCUCCAAGUCAAUAAACACCAUGUGUAUAUCCUUCUUCUUAUCCCUGAACUGUUCCACCAAUCUCCUAGUAAGGUGGAUAGCUUCUGUUGUGGAGCGGCCCGACAUGAAGUCAAACUGGUUCACGUGUAUGGACAUCAUCUCCCUUACCUCGCCUCCACCACCCGCUCCCAGACUUUCAUUGUGUGGCUUAGUAAUUUGAUAAUCCUAUUGUUUUUACAACACUGGAUAUCCCCGUUGUUCUUAUACAAGGGCACCACUGUGUUCCACCUCCACUCAUCCGGCAUCCUCUUUGUCCUGAAGAUCACAUUGAACAACCUGGACAGCCAAUCCACCCCUGCCCAUCCUAUGCUUUUCUAGAACUCCACCGGGAUUUCGUCUGGCCCGAUGGCACGAACCCUACUCGUCCUACGCAAAGCCCCCACCACCUCCCCUACCGUGAAGCGUCUGCAGUACCCAAGGUCUCUAUGACACUCUGAAUUUCCCAAUUCCCCUAACUCAAAGUCUCGAUCCCCUUCCUUAUUAAGCAUGUCUUGAAAGCAUGCCUGCCACCUUUUCAUGAUUUGGGAUUCCCCAUCAAGACUCUACCAUCCUCGUCCUUGAUGCACCUAACUUGGUCUAGAUCACGCGUCUUCCUCUCCCUCACUUUAGCCAACCUCAAUAACUUCUUGUUCCCGUCUUUCUCCCCCAAUUCCUUGUACAUGCAACCGAAUGCCACAUUUUUAGCUUCCGUGACCGCCAUCUUUUCUUAUUUUCUCGCCACCUUGUAGCUCUCCCUAUUCGCUCUCCUUUCCUCCUCGCUUAUGCUCCUUGCCAAUUUAGCAAGCGCCGCUUUCUUCGCCACCACUUUUCUUUGGACUAUAUCAUUCUACCACCAGUCACCUUGAUGUCUGCCUGAAUAGCCCUUGGCUAUCCCGAGCACAUCUCGCGCUGCCUCCCUACCCAGGUUUGCCGUCCGUGACCACAUUGCGUCCGCUUCCCCAGAAAUUCUCCAAGCUCCACCAUCAGCUAACCUCGUCUCCAACUCAUGGGCUUUCACCUUAGAUAAAGCUCCCCAUCUAAUCCGCGGCUGUCCCAGAGCACCCCUCUUCUUCGUCUUCACCCAGAGACCAACAUCCAUCACUAGGAGUCUAUGGAGAGUCGAAAAGGACUCUCCCGAGAUAACCUUAUAGUCCUUGCCCAACACUCCAUCACUCCUUCUGAGGAGGAGGUAAUCAAUCUGAGUCCUUGCCGUCGAACUCAUAAAAGUAACCAAGUGCUCCUCUUUCUUCUGAAAUGUGGAGUUCACAAUAAAAAGCUCAAAAGCCCUGGCGAAAUCAAGCAGCGAAGUGCCUCCUCCGUUCCUAACUCCAAAGCCAUAGCCACCAUGCACCUCACCAUAACCACCAGCAUCAGCCCCAAUAUGACUAUUAAAAUCACCUCCAAUAACUAAUUUCUCAGAUUGGGGAAUACUUCUCAAUAACUCAUCCAAGCCUUCCCAAAAGCGCCUCUUAACCUCUUCAUCUAAUCCUGCUUGCGGAGCGUAAGCGCUGAUGAUUGCAUCAGUCCCAAUAUUGCUGUUAAAAUCACCUACAAUAACUAACUUUGGACAAGCAUAAUAAACAUCAUGCAACUGAGUAUAAACUUAAUGGAUUUCCAUAUUCGUUAUGUGUUUAGUUCUAUGAGUGUUUCCCAGAUGUCCGGGAAAAGUAUGUAGUAGAGGAUGAAUACCUUAAUAUGCCUCAGGUCCCCAGGAUGUUACGUUAUGUAUGCGUGGGAGAGCCUAAAUUUUCCGAACUUUAUUAUAUGUU